rnacentral:lncRNA from 1 species
AUGCAGCUCCGUGCUGAUGUGCCGAGGAAGGUAGUGGAGGGUGGUCCAAGUGCUUGGGCCCCUGCCACCCACGGGGGAGACCCAGAGGGCGCUCUGGGCUUCAUCUUGGCCCAGCUACACCUAAUUUUUUUUUUUAAUUUAUUUGAAAGAGUUACACAGAGAGAGGAGAGGGAGAGAGAGGUCUUCCAUUCACUGGUUCACCCUCCAACUGGCUGCAACAGCCAGAGCUGCACUGAUUGGAAACCUGGAGCCAGGAGCUUCUUCCACGUCUCCCACACGGGUGCAGGGGCCCAAGGACUUGGGCCAUCUUCUACUGCUUUCCCAGUCCAUAGCAGAGAGCUGGAUCAGAAGUGGAGCAGCCGGGUCUCGAACCGGCACCCAUAUGGGAUGCUGGCACUGCAGGUGGUGGCUUUACCUGCUACACCACAGCGCCAGCCCCUGAGAUGUCACUGUUUCUGCAAAAAAUACUCUGGCCAGACAGGUCAGAUGCAUUUGCGAAAACCGGCACAUCCCGGGCUGCUCCUGAAGAUUCCCCAGGCCCAAGGGGUUCUGGGUCUCGGCAGAGUCUGGUGGGACAGAAACCGUUUUCACCUUGUCUGUCUCGCCUCCCUGACUGGUCUGGCCACGGCUCCUUCUCAGAGUGCAUGCAGCAGGCCCCGCCGGGGCUCUGAGCCUGUCCUGGUAUCCUGUGCCCUGGGAGCUGGACAUGCCCCUCCUCUGCCCCACCCCCCGGUCUCCAGUAUGCCCCCGUACCCACAGCAGCCCAGGAGUAGUUCUUAUGGAGAGACUGUUCCAGACUCCCCUGCAGCUGCUGCAGAGCUCCGGGGCGAGGCAGGGGCCACUGCUGCGCCACCCCCCGUCUGUCUGGGUCUCACGGCUGUGCAGAUACAUGUCUUCCCAAGCCACUGCUCAGGGGCGCUUCUGAGAGCUGGUACCCCACCCCCACCCCGGAGAGCCCCUGUGGUGCCGGCACUCAAUCAGGUCAUCCUAUCCAUCUCCCACCCCAGGGCGCCCAGGACCCCACAAGUCCUCACCCCCACCCACAAAGGAGCCGCUCAGUCUGAUGGGGCAGGGACUUGUGCCAGGGGAGGGAGGCAGCCUCCUGGGCCCGGCUGGGGCUCCUCAGGCCUGCAGUCACUUGGGCCCUCCCUGGCCGCCAGCUCCAGGCAAGUCUAGCCCUAGGAACACAAAUCCCUUCUUGAGAGACGGCCUCAUCCAUGGGACUCCACCGGGUGGCGCUCAUCACCAGGUAGGAGGAGCUCAAUUUUUGCACAGUGGACAUUGUUGCAAAAUCUUGGGGUCGGGCUGGAGCUGUGGCGUAGUGGGUAAAGCCGCCCCCUGCAGUGUCCACAUCCCAUAUGGGCGCCAGUUUGAGUCCUGGCUGCUCCACUUCUGAUCCAGCUCUCUGCUGUGGCCUGGGAAAGCAGUGGAAGAUGGCCAAGUGCUUGGGCCCCUGCACCUGCAUGGGAGACCUGGAAGAAGCUCCUGACUCCUGGCUUCAGAUCAGCGCAGCUCCAGCAGUUGUGGCCAAUUGGGGAGUGAACCAGCGGAUAGAAGACCUCUCUCUCUCUCUCUCUCUCUCUCUCUCUCUCUCUGCCUCUCCUUCUCUAACUCUUUCAAAAACAAAACAAAAAAUGCAGUUUCACUUGAGGUCAAGUGGCCUGUGGGGUCAAGUCCAGCGCCUGGACGCCUCCCCCCCAACUGGAGUCCACAGUGAGGGUCCCCAUGGUGGCUCUACAGUGACAACAGCCCAGGCUCUGCUUAAGUCACCCUAGAGCCUGGUCCUUGAAAGCUCUGGCACCUCGGCCAGUACGCCCGACCUCUGCCAGCCCCAGGUGCACCUGCUGUCCCUCAUCUGUAAACAAGGGUGAUAGACAGGUUGGGUAUGCCCCAUGCAAAAGUGCCCAGGCCGGAAGUGCUUCCAGUUUUGAAGCCUUUUUUUGAGAUUCUUGAAAUAUCAUUUGCAUAGACUUUACCAGUUUGAACAUCCCCAGUAUGUGUAUGUGUGUGUGUGUGUGGGGGGGAUUCGUAAAUCCAAAAUGCUCCCAAAAGUGACAGUUUUCAAGGUGCCUACCGAAGCACCUCUGUGGGUGCAGUGAGUGACACGGAUCAUGGGGCCCUUGGGGGGGGGGCUCUGCACUGCCGGCUGCCUCGGUCAGCAGGUGCCACCCCAGGGUUCCCAGGCCUCACGAGCCGGCGGUAGAUGGGUGGGAAGGGGGGCUGGCCACCGGAAGCACCAGCCCGGCCUGGUUCUCAGCCCUCGGCCUCCGGGACCCAUGUUUCUGGCAGUGUUGCGGCCGUGGGAGCGAGCACCUGUCUGUCCUGUACCCACUGGGUGUCACAGAGCUGCGGCGGGGCGUGGCGGUCGGCAUUGCUGUGUGGACGAUUCCAGAGCGGGCUCUCUCUGGGGCAGCCUUGCCUCCCGGCUCCAGGAGGGUGGCACUCUCCUCUGCUGGCCCACAGCAGUCGGCUGGGGUUAACACUGUGGCGUAGCAGGCAAAGCCGCUACCUGCAGUGCCAGUAUAACCUGUGGGCGCCAGUUUGAGUCCCGGCUGCUCCUCUUCUGAUCCAGCUCCCUGCUAGGGCCUGGGAAAAGCAUCAGCAGAUGGCCCAAGUGCUGGGGCCCCUGCACCCACGUGGGAGACCCGGAUGGAGUUCCAGGCUCCUGGCCCAGCCCUGGCCAUUGCGACCACUUGGAGAGUGAACCAGUGGAUAGACGAUCUUACUCUCUGUGUAACUCUGACUUUCAAAUCAAGAAAUAAAUCUUAAAAACACCGCCA